GAUCUGGCUCAGGACGAACGCUGGCGGCGCGCCUAACACAUGCAAGUCGAACGAGCGAGAGAGAGCUUGCUUUCUCAAGCGAGUGGCGAACGGGUGAGUAACGCGUGAGGAACCUGCCUCAAAGAGGGGGACAACAGUUGGAAACGACUGCUAAUACCGCAUAAGCCCACGACCCGGCAUCGGGUAGAGGGAAAAGGAGCAAUCCGCUUUGAGAUGGCCUCGCGUCCGAUUAGCUAGUUGGUG
rnacentral:rRNA from 1 species